CUGUUAUUUUCAAAUAAUUUACAUUCCAGAAUAUAAUGAUAUUCGUCACCAAUACAGUUAUUAUUACAUUUCAAACAUUUUCUAUUUUCCCUUUCUAUACCAUUCCACCGUCCUGUUUCUGUAGGAAGUCUAUGAUUUGUGGUUCUAAACCUGCACACCGUAUAGAUAUCUUUAUCUUCCAAUAUAUUUAAAAAACAUUCAAACUGAAAUGUCUCCUUAAAUAAUCUAUAAUUUAUAGAUUUUGGUGAAUUUAACAUAAGUGCAUGCCAUUCCUGUCUAAAUUGAUCAUGUAGGCGCAUCUUUAUCGAAGGGAUAAGCCAAUCUGAGCUAGGAAAAAAGCUGAGCUGUCCAAAUAUAGGAAAAGCCAGUAUCAUCAAACACGUUUCUUAAAAACUUUAACCAUGGCGAUUCAAAAUGAUUGUCGAUCGACAAUUUGUAUAAUAAUUGAUAAGAUAAAUAAGACAGUUUUGAAUCCUUUCCAGAUAAAAGUCGUGUCCAAAAUGCAAUCAUUUUUAGUUUGAUAUCUAGUUGAACAGGAAAAAUGCCAAGUUCACCAUAAAUCAUAUAGUUUGGGGUGGAUGAUUUUAACUUAAAUAACAAUUUACAAAAUCGUAAUUGUACCCUUUCAAUACAUUGAAUAUGUUUACAAAAUCCCCAUACUUCUGAGCCAUACAAAAGAAUGGGCUUUACCAUUUUAUUAAAAAGUUCUAGUUGACAUUCAAUUGCUAAAUUAUGAAUGCGACCUCUUUUUAAAACCUCAUACAUUGCUUUUGUUGCCUUCUCUGCUUGCUUUUUUAUUGCCUUACUAAAAUUGCCGGUCCUGCUAAAUAGUAUACCAAGAUAGUUAAAUUCAUGAACUAUAUCUAUAUCUGCCCCAUUUAAGGAAAAAUUUAAAUCUGCACAAGGCCUUCCCCUGGAAAAUACCAUGACUUUGGUUUUGUUAACAUUUACCUUCAGUUUCCAUAUAUUACAGUACUCUCCAAAUUUGUUUAAUAUUUUUUGUAAGUCUUCUUUUGAUUCAGACAUUAGGACCGUAUCGUCUG
rnacentral:lncRNA from 1 species